GGGUUGUGAGGUUAAGCGACUAAGCGUACACGGUGGAUGCCCUGGCAGUCAGAGGCGAUGAAGGGCGUGCUAAUCUGCGAUAAGCGCCGGUAAGGUGAUAUGAACCGUUAUAACCGGCGAUACCCGAAUGGGGAAACCCAGUGUGAUUCGUCACACUAUCAUUAACUGAAUCCAUAGGUUAAUGAGGCGAACCGGGGGAACUGAAACAUCUAAGUACCCCGAGGAAAAGAAAUCAACCGAGAUUCCCCCAGUAGCGGCGAGCGAACGGGGAGGAGCCCAGAGCCUGAAUCAGCAUGUGUGUUAGUGGAAGCGUCUGGAAAGGCGCGCGAUACAGGGUGACAGCCCCGUACACAAAAGCGCAUGUGCUGUGAGCUCGAUGAGUAGGGCGGGACACGUGGUAUCCUGUCUGAAUAUGGGGGGACCAUCCUCCAAGGCUAAAUACUCCUGACUGACCGAUAGUGAACCAGUACCGUGAGGGAAAGGCGAAAAGAACCCCGGCGAGGGGAGUGAAAAAGAACCUGAAACCGUGUACGUACAAGCAGUGGGAGCCCCACCACUAAGCCAGUGGUGAACUCCACAUACGCAUCCUUUGCUGAGGAUACGGUUAACGGAGCGAAAGCGACGUUCAACCUCAAAAGAAGCAGAGG
rnacentral:rRNA from 1 species